GAGCUUGAGACCAGCCUGGCCAACGUGGUGAAACCUUGUCUCUACUAAAAAUACAAAAAUUAGCUGGCGUAGUGUCAGCCACCUGUAAUCCCAGCCACUCGGGAUGCUGAGGCAGGAGAAUCGCUUGAACCCGGGAGGCGGAGGUGGUGAACCAAGAUCGCACUGCUACACUCCAGCCUGGACAAGGCAGUGAGACUCCGUCUCAAAACGAACAAACAAACAAACAAAAACAUCUGUUUCUCAUGUUCUUUCAGAUAUGGCUGGAUUCCUACCUUUCCAUCCCAGAUUGGGUUUUGUUUUUUGUUUUUUUUAAAGCUGCCCAGAUUUGAAAAGAGAACCUUUGCAGACUUUAAUUCUGAUACAUGAGGCAGGACAGGCAGUCCUCACUCUACAAAGAGGUUGUGUUCCCAAAGUUUCUUUGUUUUGUUUGUUUCCAACACAGAAUGCAUUUUUCAUUGGAAACAAUGUUCCCAGACUAGCCCACAAAAGCCUAUUUAACCCACUAUGCUAAGUAGAAAACGAAGUGCGUUUAAAUUCUAGGAAACACAACCGGGAAAAUGAAUAAGAAACACAAUUUAAAUGUUUAUGUUGAAUAUUAGUGCUUGGGGAAAAGCAGCUUCCAACAAAGAAGAAUGAAGCAGGAAGAGUCAAGGGUGUGGAAGAUUCCGAGAAGGGAGUGGAAGCCGGGUUGUCAUGGCCAGGCCACAGUCCAGCAUCUGACAGGGCUGUGGACGAAAGCUGAGUCUGUCUAACAGCAGCUGGGCCUGGGCAGGUCUGAGCCCGUGUGAGGAACAUUCCUGCAGAUCCACAGCAUGCAGAGGGCAGGCGGGGCUGACACAGACACUUCUCCCCAGUGAAUUCUGGAGGCUGGAGUUAACCUAUAGGAAGUCUUCCAUGAGGCCGAAAUUGGAGUAUGUGACAGGUGUGGCUUCCGGGCCUCAUGGAGUUCCUCCGAGAGCUUCUGCCUGGGUUAUCUAUUGGUAUUCUGCAGCAGCUGCCUCACAGAGCCUGGAGAGCUCCAGCAAGGAUGGGCCGGAACUCCAGCUGCUGGUCCAGAGAGUCUCUGAGAUGAAUAAUGUGCCUAGUUUAUCUAUUUCAUCCUCUCCAAAAUGGCCUCUAAGAGCACCUGCUGGGACUCUCCUAGCUACUAGAACAUAAUAGUCACACACCCUGACUAGUCCUCAGCUAAAG
ensembl:lncRNA